CAGUCCAGGGCCAGGACAGGGAUACAGCCCGACUUCUCCAUCAUAUAGUCCCGCAUCACCCAGCUAUAGUCCCACUUCUCCAUCAUAUACGCCUGGCUCUCCUAGCUACAGCCCAACAAGUCCGUCGUACUCCCCAACAAGUCCAUCGUACUCUCCAACCAGUCCGUCAUACUCCCCCACAUCUCCAAGCUACAGUCCCACAUCGCCAAGCUACAGUCCCACAUCACCAAGUUAUAGUCCCACUUCUCCGAGCUACAGUCCCACAUCGCCAGUUUAUAGUCCGACCUCUCCAGCAUACAGCCCAACAUCUCCUGCAUACAGCCCGACAUCUCCAUCAUACAGCCCGACAUCGCCAUCAUACAGCCCUACUUCACCUUCAUACAGCCCUACCUCUCCAUCUUACAGCCCUACGUCUCCAUCAUACAGCCCUACGUCUCCUUCAUACAGCCCUACGUCUCCAUCAUACAGCCCGACAUCGCCCUCGUACAGCCCGACAUCGCCUGCAUACAGCCCGACAUCGCCUGGAUACAGCCCAACAUCGCCGAGCUACAGCCCUACUUCGCCAAACUACAGUCCAACUUCACCGAGCUACAAUCCUUCUUCGGCCAAGUACAGCC
rnacentral:lncRNA from 1 species